rnacentral:tRNA from 1 species
GCGGGCGUAGUCUAGUGGUAAAACCCCAGCUUCCCAAGUUGGAGAUAUGGGUUCGAUUCCCAUCGCCCGCU